CUAGACCCAAUGCCGAAAUUCCCAACAUAAGGUGGCGUAGCCGAAUGUGCACUCGCAGAGUCCCCUAUACGGCCAACUCCUACUUCAUACUCAGAUUCCUUGAUUUUCUCCCCUUAUCCUUCAUUUACCCAAUCUCCUGAACAACUUAAACUCCUCCUGACAGUCUUUUGCUUGAGUUCCACUACUUACCAUUCCUAUUCAUAAAAAAAAAUAAUUCCUUUGAUUAUGCUCUCAUUGUGACUUGAACCUUGGUUCUCCCUAGCAUCCACAUGCCAC
rnacentral:lncRNA from 1 species